UUCAGCAUGGCAGUAUCUCUCACCACUUGUUUUGGUCCAAGGGCAGAAAUGAGCAUCCUGGAAACCAAUCAGUACUUGCUCUCUGAACUGGAAAAGUGCAAAGAGAACUUCCGAGACCUCACAGAGAAAUUCCUGACAUCCAAAGCUACUGCCUACUCCCUGGCCAAUCACCUGCAGAAAUAUAGAUACAUGAUCCCUUAAUUCAGGCUCAGGCUGAAGAACUGACCCACUUACGACAGAAGAUACAAGAAGGGAGAGGUGUCUGCUACCUUUUCACCCAGCAUGUGAAGAACACAGUCAAGUCUUUUGAGGGCCUUCUCAGGAACACUGGCAUUGCCUACUACCAGAGACAGAGAUUCUGUGAGCAAAUGGUACAAGGAAGCCAGCUAACAGAGAUCCUUGUCAGAAAACUUGCCACAGAAUCAACCCCAAUGCUCACUAACAAACUGAGAAG
rnacentral:lncRNA from 1 species